GCGGGAUAUUUUGCACAUUUUGUAAUAUAGCCAUUAUUCAAGUGGAAAUAAAAAUGAGAAAAUAUUGCCAGCCCUUCUGUCUCAAGAAAGACAAUUUUCUUGAUUCACUUUCCAGCACAACUGAGUGUGACAGAUGGGAGAGGUUUUCUUUGUGUCGAUUUAGUUUAAUUCUCCAAAGCCAGACUUUAACACACAAAGAACUAGUGACGAAUAAAACCAUAAAAUGUGUAACAUUACAGUACAUUAUAAUACAAUUCAUACUAUAGUAUGUGUUCUUUUUUAAAGUAUAUAUUUUUCCUUAUUUAAAAUAUUUCAAUGCAGGGAUAUGUGUGUCCUGGAAUUAUUUCUGGGUAAUUGCAGGAGUGAAUAUAGAUAUUACCCUAAAUUUCACAUAGAAGGGAACACACUAAUGCAUCAUUUUUCCUCCAGUAGUAUACAGUUCUGCUUUAUUUUGAAUUCAAGUUCACAUUUAUUAUUUCAUUUAAGAAGAUGCUUAGUAGUAUUCCUCAUCCAGGUUUGGGUCGUAGGUGCCCUGUUCAUGCAGGAGGUAGGGUGGAAAUCGAGGUGGGAUGGGCUUUAUGCCAUAGUCUAGAAAAUGUUUGAAGACAUUUGAGAGCAUAUCCACACAAUACAUGUCUGUCAUGUUUAACAGAUAACUAUAUAUUUCUGUUUUUCAAGUAGCAGCCCAACAAUGAUGACAAUAUUUGGAUGUGGUGAAAAAAGAAAAAUACCAGGUAAUAUCUUACCAUCAAACAGGGUGAUGUGUUCCUUAUGAAAGUCUGGGUCAAACAGUGGCUCCAUUCUCAACUCCACGUUAUCUCUUGGUAAAAUGACAUCGGUUCUGGUAAACGAGGCAAAUGUUGUAUAGCCUACGUGAGAUUGUAUAUUAAUUAUUGGCCAUUUGAGAUCAUCUACUUUUUGACAAACACUUUUUGGCUUUAAAAGUUAGAGGACCCGUAUUUCAAAUAGGAGAUUAGCCAUCAAAACUCCAUAGCAAUCACACUUCUAAUAUACUAAGAGUGAAUAUACCAAAUGACUAUUAUCUUUAAAUUAGGUCAUUAAUGACUACAUUCAUGUAAAUUAAAAUGAUGCCCUCCUACUAGCACCACCGAGCAAAGUCUAAUAAAGCCGUUAAAGUUAGGCUACAAACAGCGUGUUCAUAACGUCAUCUGAGGACAGCCUACCUUUUCGGCAGAGGGACAGCGAGACUUAUUCCUGCAAACAUUAAUAGCAAAACAAAAAUAAUUUCCGCCCUCAUUUGGACGACUUUUUACUCUAAAAUGGUAAAGAAAAGCAUAACGUUAUAUGCUUAAUUUCGCCAUUCAACGAGAUUAGGCGAUAUUUUUCUCAAGACUUCCAUUUCACUUAAUGAUGUCACAAAAACGUUAAUUUUCAAACAAUUUAAAAAUACAUAUCAACAAAUUAUAACCGCAUUGUUGGGUUUAAAUCUGUGAAUACAUAUCCACAGUGACGGGCUAUGAAAUGCAGUUAGUGUUUAUUUGCUGAAACAGUAGGCCUACCUUAAUUGGUCUUUUCCUAUUAUUUAACAUUUGCACUUGAGGCCAUUUGCUAACUCGCUAAACUGUUUCCUGACGACUGAUGAAAAUAGCUAUUCUUUCCUGUGCGUUUGUAAUGUUCAUUCAUGCGCCUAUUAACAAGUUUAUUUAGCAUUUUAGGCCCUCAGACAGAUUUCUACUGUCACCAUAUUAGCCUACCCAAAAGUCCUAAAACUCCACAAUGUCCCGGGCCCCAUGGUAUUUGCCUGUCUUGCCUGUUCAUCCCGCCAAGUUACACUUUGGCGGGGCGGCAUACCCCAUAGGCUACCUAGCAGAUUCACUUCUGGGGGAAAGGCAGGGAUAAACCCUGACAAGUCACCAAUCCAUAAAAGAUGAACACUAUUUUAGUGUUCUGACCUCUUUAUACAGUCUAUGGUUCUAACCUAGGCGAGAAAGCCCCCUAGUGCAACACGAGGUUAACUGCAUCUGAAAGAUCAUGUUCUGAUGCUUGUGAAUGUCCAUUUCCCCCAGCUAGGCUAUAUAGCAGAGCGUGGGGAACAAUCGGCCGCUUGUUGGCGUGUUUUCUACUUUUAAAACAGUGUUAGUUAAAUGUAUGUCCAUCGUAUAUUUUGGAAAUCCCCACACAGCAAUAACGAGUCCUGCUUAACAGAUCUACAUGGAAUGGGGAAAUACAUUUUGUAACUGGAGACAGUUUACACGUCGGAUUUUUAAUCUUAUUGGUUAUUGCACCAGGUUCACUGUCCCUCUGGUAGCUCCACCAGCUUUCCUUGCAUGCCUCGUGGACACGAGGACUCGGCCCCCAUUGAAAAUAAUGGCGGCGAUUAUGAAGUCGCUUCUUGUCGGAGGAUGCUUUCCUAAAAGGUCACGGACUUGAAUGCAGAUGUUUGAAGGAGAAAUAUGCCAUUCCAGAUUGCAGUAUCAUCAGCGCCCAGAUGGGGGAGCUGUCUUACCAAGGUUAUUUGAGAAAAAUUAAAGGCUUUGAGGAUUCAGGUGUCAGGAGUGAACGAUCACACCUGGCACAACAGACAGAGAGAGAGAUUGUUGUGCUGAGUACAAGCUCUGGAUGUACUUCAGCAUAAUGCUGGAAUCUCGUAAUGCACAAUAACAGAAGGUCAGCACAACCAGCCCUGCUUAAUGCGGUUGGCACUCUGACAG